rnacentral:misc_RNA from 1 species
CACAAAUUAAUUAAAAUAAAUGAUAAAUCACAAACUAAAACUGCAUUCCAGUCAGCAAUGCAAAAAGGAAAUAAAAAUGAAAUAAAUAUUGAACAAUUUGCACAUACCGAAAAUCAGUGUACUGCAGCAUUUCCAACAGAAAUAGAUGAGGAAGAAUCUAUAAGAUAUAUUGAAACGCUCGUCGAUGAUGAUUUUCAAUUACAUAAAUGUAACAUAGGAUUUGACGAUAAAGUUUCAUCUGUGACUGAAGAGUUUGCACUUGAUGCCACUAAACAAUGGGUUCUGAAAUAUAGACAUUUAUUAAGCCAACGGGCCAUUAACGAUAUGUUGCAAAUUUUACGAGUGCCAUAUCCAAAGUUUCCUGCAGACUCGCGUAUUCUUUUAAAAACACCAAAUUCGUGCCCCUAUGAAAUAAUUAAUAUGCCCCCCGGUUUCUACUGUCACAUCGGUAUAGAGAAUACAAUUCGUAGACUCAUCAAUGACAGUAUUAAUAUGCACAAUUUCUUAUUUCAAAAUUCAGAACCAGUGUUACCCAUUAGUAUAAACAUAGACGGAUUACCUAUUUCAAACAGUUCAAAAAGUCAAUUUUGGCCAAUUUUGAUUUCUCUAGAUGUAGAUUCAGUUAGUCAAAAUGCGUCAAAACCUUUUGUAGCUGGAAUUUACCACGGGCACACAAAACCAGCUGAUGUUAAUCAAUUUUUAAGUGAAUUUAUUACAGAAUUUAAACAUUUGCAAGAUAAUGGAUUUAACAUAUGCAAUAAAACUGUUAAAAUAAAGGCCAGUAAAUUACUUUGCGAUGCUCCUGCUAAAUCAUUCGUUUUAUGUACGAAAGGUCACACGGGAUUUUACAGUUGCACAAAAUGUACUCAAAGUGGUACCUUUAUUAAUAACCGACUAGCUUUCCCAGAUAUCAAUGUAGACUUACGAACUGAUGCAAGUUUUAAAAACAAAUUAGAUGAUGAAUUUCAUAAAGGUACAACUCCUCUUGAAAAUAUUAACAUCGGGUUAGUUUCGCAAAUACCCCUUGAUGGUAUGCAUCUGGUAUUUCUCGGUGUAAUGAAAAAACUGAUAACGUUUUGGGUACGAGGACCAAAAAACAUUCGCUUCACUGACGAUGAGAAAAAAGCCAUUAACGAUCAAAUAUUAUUUUUAAAGAAUUAUGUACCUAAAGAUUUUGGCCGCUUACCAAGAAGUUUAGAUGACAUAGAGUACUUUAAAGCUGCUGAACUAAGACAAUUGUUGUUGUACAUUGGACCGAUCGUUUUACAAAAUAUGAGAAACAAGAACAUGUAUACACAUUUUAUGACAUUAUCAUGCGCUAUUCGCAUUUUAUGUAGUCCUGCAUUAUAUUCAGUUUAUAAUGAUUAUGCUUUGCAACUUAUUCAGUAUUUUGUUCAAAAAUAUUCAGUUCUUUAUGGUCCUGAGUUCAUCAAUCACAACGUACACGGCCUCAUUCAUUUACCUGCAGACUGCUUGUUGCACGGUCCACUUGAUACAUUUAGUUGUUUCAAAUAUGAAAAUUUUCUGUACGAAAUAAAACGAAAAAUUAAAACAACAAAACACUCCUUACAACAAACUUGUAACAGACUAAAGGAAGAAGAGCAGAAAAAGAAACAGGACGACAAGACUUAUCCGAUUUUACAUCAACAAAGUAAAGUGCAAAUUAUUGAUAAGGAAAGAUGUAUAUUCUACAAAAAAGUGGAUAUUGGAAAGUAUGAAUUCAGCACAGAAAAUAAAGAAAAUUGCGUCAUGCUUAGAGACAAGGCUGUACUAUGCGUAGACGGUAUUUUCCAAAACACUAACACACUGGAAAUGUUCAUAACGGGAAGAAAGUUUACAGAAUCAACAACGUUUUUUAAGUCACCCUGUUCUUCUGAACUAUUUAAUGUAGAACAGAUAGCGCAUCGCACGUCGCAUAGCGGUAAACGAACGAACUAACACAUCCUUGCGUCCUCGCGCGAAACUUUGAUGUCCAAGAUCGGACAUUUUGUGGACGUCCAAAUAUUGGCCGUUAACGGAUGUCCCGAAUCGGAUGUACGAUGAACAGUCAUUUCAUGUCCAUGGACGUACGGACGUAAAAUGGAUAUAAAAUGAAUGUCCAUAGGAUGUCCUGUGCUGUCUGGGAUAAUUAUAUGGUAUACAAUAAGAAGUUUAUUUGGUCUGUAGUCGAAUUUGCGGAGAAUUUCGAAGAAUCGACUGCAGUAGAAGUCGUCCCGACAACAUGGGUAACAAUUUUAAACAACGAAAUUACAUGCAAAUGGCCUGGGAAAAACAUCCGCAGGGCAAUCAACAAACGAACAGCCCCAUUAAGUUCUUGGAAAACUUGGAAUAUAAGA